GGCUGAUCUGAUAGUAGUGGGUUAUUAGAACUUAUUAACAUUAGCAUUACUAAAGUUAAUAUGCAACUUCCACUGCUAAAUUUGACUGGCAAAA
rnacentral:Y_RNA from 1 species